rnacentral:rRNA from 1 species
CAAUAGCGUAUAUUAAAGUUGUUGCGGUUAAAACGCUCGUAGUUGGAUCUGCGGCCUCGGAGAACGGUCCCCCGAAAGGGCGGUCACUGUCUCUCCUAGCCUAAAUUCGAGUCGUCUCUAGGUGCUCUUAACCGGGUGCCUAGAGUGACUAGAACGUUUACUUUGAAAAAAUUAGAGUGCUUAAAGCAGGCGAAAUAGCCUGAAUAAGGUGCAUGGAAUAAUGGAAUAGGACCUCGGUUCUAUUUUGUUGGUUUUCGGAACCCGAGGUAAUGAUUAAGAGGAACAGACGGGGGCAUUCGUAUUCCGGCGCUAGAGGUGAAAUUCUUGGACCGCCGGAAGACGGACGACUG